CGCGUAGGUGGUAGUGCAAGUCUGGGGUGGAAUCCCAGGGCUUAACCCUAGAACUGCCUUGGAAACUGUAUUACUUGAGUCAGUGAGGGGAGGGUAGAAUUCCUGGUGUAGCGGUGAAAUGCGUAGAUAUCAGGAGGAAGGCCUGUGGCGAAGGCGGCCCUCUGGCGCUGAACUGACACUGAGGCGCGAAAGCGUGGGGAGCAAACAGGAUUAGAUACCCUGGUAGUCCACGCCCUAAACGGUGGGUACUAGGUGUAGGGCUCGUAAGGGUUCUGUGCCGAAGCGAAAGCAUUAAGUACCCCGCCUGGGGAGUACGGCCGCAAGGUUGAA
rnacentral:rRNA from 1 species